rnacentral:tRNA from 1 species
GCGCCCGUAGCUCAGUGGAUAGAGUGCCUGACUACGAAUCAGUAGGUCGGAGGUUCAAGUCCUCCCGGGCGCGCCA